rnacentral:lncRNA from 1 species
AUUCCACUCUCUUUCUCAGCCAUUCUCAGCCUGUACUUCUAUUUCUCUCCCCCGAUUCCCUUUUCUUUCCCAAUUCCCUUUUCUUUCUCAGCCUUUCUCUGACUAAGCCAUUUGCCUAAAUCAUAGUUCCCCCGAAACCCUCAUUUUCUCCCAAAUCAUAGUUCCCCCAAAACCCCAAAAUUUCCCUAAAUCAAACCCAUUUGCUGUCUCCCUCUCUCUUUUCGAUCGACAGGUAUCAUAAUUUUCUAAUCAAACCCAAAGCUCAUUCUUUCAUUUUGAUUUCAUUGCAGCAAGCAAGCCAUUUAUUUUUGAUUUCAUUUCGACUUCAAUUUCACUUCUGUUUUAUUUUUGCAGCAAGCAGAAAGAUUAAGGGAUUUCAUUUUGAAAUCAAACCCGAUUGAAGGCUACCUUUGGCGAGUCCAUCAAAUCAAGGUACUCUUAUUUACUUGUUCUUUUGAAUCCUAGACUUUAGCAUGCUGACAUUUAUAUUUUUUUUCUUUUGUGUUCUUUAGUAUAUGCCAUCUAUUGGGAAUUUUAUUGUUGUUCUCUUUCCCUCUGCGUAUGUAGUUAGUUUCCUAUUAUGGGAAUUUAUUUUGUUGGUUUUGAUUUCUGCGUUUGAUUUUGGCUUUUUGGUUCUUUGAGUCGGAAGAUUGAUGGCCUUUUAUGGGCUAGUUUGAUUUAUAUUGGCAUUUGAUUAUACAUGAUUGGAAAAUGGUUUAAUAUGUAUAGAUUCUCCAAGACUAGAAACUUUAUCCUUGAUGUUUCAAGUUACUGAAUGAUGAACUUGGCUGUCUUGAAACUACAACCUAUACAUGAGUGACCUUCGAUACCGUAAACAUGUUUUCAGUUAUCAGUUCAGUGUCUUCUCAUGUGAUCAUUGGUAGAAGCAAUUCCUUGUAGGAUUAGAUAGUUUAGGUUAGAUAACCCGACCUAUAUUGAAUUGCUUGCUCUAUUUAUUGUGUUUUGGUUUCAAUGGUCAAUAUUCUGGGCUUAUUAAACUCUAAAAAUGCGUGUCACCAGUCAUCCUCAUGAAAACAUGCCUCAAAAACACUCUUUGCUUCUGCUGUUGUGCUUGUGCUGCCUUACACUCAAAUAUUUAUGUUACCAAUCUUAGCUGGUCCAGUCACCUUUUCUUCCAUGAUCUUCUGCAUAUUGUGUAACAUUAAUACAUCCUUCCUUAUCCUGCAUUGCUUUUACACUGUUAAAUAGCGGGUAGUAGCUAUCCCUGAAGUUUUCUGGAGAACUUUAGAGUCAUAAAAACCCUGGCUAAAGACUUCCUGAUUCUGAAAUUUGCUGCCUUGCGUUGGAGGGCACCUAUUGAUAUAAUUAAUAAUUACGACCUUUUUUAGGUAAAAUAAUGUGAAUUUGCAUUUAAUUAAAUUGUUUAUUUACCAUAGAAUCUUUUUUCGCAAGCCCCAUGAUAUAUAUUUUCAUUUCUCAUUAUUUUCUUCUAAGAUCUUUUUAUCAUAAUACUAAAUCUACAGUUAAUGGCUCUCUACCAUCUUAAAAGUUGAAUUAUAGUCUAAAUCACCAUUUUUUCCCUUUAAUUUCUUCGGUUAAUAAUUAGUACGGUAAACGUGGACCAAUUGCCAUCUUUAAAAUUAGUUGAAAUGACUCUUGAAACCAACAAAAAAGCUGGUACACUUCUCAAAUUUUUAUUUUUAUUUUGGUGGAAAACAUUUCUCAAAAUUUUAACCACGGUGUGACAAGAGAUAUGUAUUUCUUCUUAACUUGGCGAGCUAUACAGACUUCGCCAAUACAAAUUAGUCACGCUUCAUAAUUGUGAAUCGGUAAGCAACUCACCAUUUUUCUAUAUAAAAAAACAUUUGGGCAAAUCAAAUUUAUUAUACAUUUUCAUGACAAGUCUCGCCAGCUGUUAUCAAUUUUAUUAUGUGCAUGCCUCGCCAUUUUCUUUUUAUUUUGGUAUAUAUCAUUGAAGCUUGGCAGUAUACAUACUAUUGGUGCUUAUAAUUUGCUCAUAUCGUUGGCUGUCAUUAGUGAUACCGUAACUGCAUAUUUGUUUUAUUUUCUCCUUAAUCCUCAAGUCAUGCUCUAAGAAAUACACUCAAUUGAAGUUUGGAGCAACUCUAUCCUCUUUUAGUUCUCUGAUCUUAUGAAUGUGCAGAGCAUGUUUGUAAUGUCUCUGUCAUAGUGGCUUCAUCAUAUGAUAUCAAUUACUAUGUUACACAUUGAUGGUUAGAAAGCUGUAAUUAAUUAUUUUUUAUUCAAUUUGAUGGCUCGGAAUAAAUUGUUUGUGGUGAUGCAUGCAUAUUCACGUAACAGAUGAUGUGAUUGUUAUACAUAGCUGCUACAUGAGUUGAGACCUGAUGAGAGUAAGUUGGAGAAUAGCCUGUGUUAUCCAAAAAUUAGUAUUUUGUUCUAACAAUUACUCUUUUGCAUGCUAACUCAGCAUAUUACAGUGACAUCUGUGUCGGAUCAAUUGCUUGCCGGCUGGAAAAGAAGGAAGGUGGGGCUAUCCAUUUGUACAUCAUGACAUUGGGGUUAUCCAUUUGCCAGCAUAUUACCCUAGACUUCUGUGAUGAGUUAAAUGGAUUUAACUCAAUUGAAUAAUGAUUAAUUCACUUGUUUUAAGUGUUUUUUUUCAUUUUAUAUUUUUUAUAUAAAAAAUAUAUAUACUUAAAUCACAAAAUGAUAACUAAACUAUACUUGUUUUCCCAAAUUGAUAUUUAAACUUUUUUGUUGUCAUAAGUGGUACUUAAACUAUACCACUUACCCAUUUUAUCUCUGUUGUUAAAGAAAUUCCCUUAACCAAUCAUUUUGUGGCACGAUAUAAUUUUUAACUAAAAUAUCCAAAAAAAAGAUUAAAUAUUAUUUCCUUUAUAAACAUAUUUAUCUUUUUUUGUUUUCACCUAAAAGUUCUAGUGAAAAAAAAUUCAAGAACUAAUCGAGAAACACAUUUGAACCUAGUUUUCGACAAUAAAGCUUAGAUUGCGAUGAGUGUUUUUUUUCUUUUUAAUUUUUUAAUAUAUUCUACUGACACAUUGCAAUUCCAAGUAUCUAUGUUAGUGAUUUAGUAUCUCUUCUUAAAUUUGAAUCUCGAUGAUAAUUAGACUGGAGGAUGCCAUUACUGUAGUAAGGAUCCUUUAAAUAUUUACCUUUUUUUAAUAAAUUUUGAACUAGAGUGAACUGGCAAAAGUGUUGUUAAGAAGCUGAGGGUGUUACCGUUGCUCAACCAAUUUAAUAAUUUAGGUUGAUGCUAUAAUGUUAUUGAAAGGCAUAUUUGAGUCAGAUUAUUUUUUUAUUUUAUGGCUGUUUAUUGUUUGCAG